ACAUCUAGGAAACAGGUGACUUAACUACCGACCGUAUAACAACGAAAACCACACAUGGUUUUCGUUUACAAAGAUGGUUUCGGCUAUCACUUCAGGAUGGGCCCGCGGUGCAUUAGCUAGUUGGUAGGGUAACGGCUUACCAAGGCAAUGAUGCAUAGCCGAGUUGAGAGACUGAUCGGCCACAAUGGAACUGAGACACGGUCCAUACUCCUACGGGAGGCAGCAGUAGGGAAUCUUCCACAAUGGGCGCAAGCCUGAUGGAGCAACACCGCGUGAGUGAAGAAGGGUUUCGGCUCGUAAAGCUCUGUUGUUGGAGAAGAACGUGCGUGAGAGUAACUGUUCACGCAGUGACGGUAUCCAACCAGAAAGUCACGGCUAACUACGUGCC
rnacentral:rRNA from 1 species